UGUCCUUUCAUCCUAUAGUUUGUCACUGUUCCCUCUGAGUGUAAUUCUUCUAGCUGCUCAGGUGAUAGCAACAGUAUUUAAGAGUUACCAAUGACCUCUGUUCUUAUAGUGAUACGUAUCAUUUUAACUUAUUGAGUCUCUUAAAAAUUUUUUGUUGUUGUUUUGUUUGUUUUUCCCCCUCUUUUUUAUUUACAUUUUGAUGAUUCUCUUGUGUUUUGUGGUUGGACUUUUUGGUCUUUUAUUUAUGAAUGCUUGGAACUCUUCUGUUGUGUUGAAUGACCAUACUUUUCCCUGUAAGAAUAUAGUCAGUUUUGAUGGGUAUUUUAUUCUUGGUUGUAGACGUAGUUCCCUUGCUUUCUGGAAUAUAGUAUUCCAUGCCUUUUGGUCUUUCAGUGUGGAUGCAGCCAGAUCCUGUAUUAACCUCACCGUGUUUCCAUGGUAUCUGAAUGGCUUCUUCUUGGAAGCUGGUAAUAUCUUUUCUUUCAUCUGAUUGUUUUUGAAUUUGGCUAUAACAUUUCUUGGUGUUGUCAGUUGGGGAUUAAAUACAGGGGGUGAUUUGUGGAUUCUUUCAAUCUCUACUUUCCCCUCUUGUUCUAGGAUCUCGGGACAGUUUUCCUGGAUAAUAUCCUCUAGUAUUAUGAAUGGGCUUUUUUUUUUUGUCGUGGUCUUCUGGUAGUCCAAGUAUUCUUAUAUUGUCUUUUCUUGAAUGAUUUUCUAAAUUGUCUGUUUUGUGAAUGAGAUGCUUCACAUUUUCAUCACUUUUUUCAUUCUUUUUGUUUUGUUUUAUUGUGUCCUGCUGCCUUGUGAGGUUACUUGAUUCUAGUUGUUUUAUUCUAGUUCUUAAAGAUUGGAUUUCAUCUCUGGGUUUUUGGUCGUCUUUUUCCUUCUGGUUUGAUUUUCUUUGAAGAUCGUCUUUCAUCCUCUAUACCUUGUCUUUCAUCUCCUUUGCCUCAUCUUUCAUCUCCUUUGCCUCAUUUUCCAGCUGGUUGAUUUUGGCUUUCAAGACACUAUUUUCUCGUUUUAGUUCAAGUGCCUCUGUUUCCAGAUGACUUAUCUUAAUUUUUAAGUUCUUUUCCCAAUUGUCUUCAGGCUCUCUUAGUUGUGUUUUGAGUUCUUCCACAGCCUGUAUCCAAUUCGCUGGGAUUUCUGAUUUAUUGUUUGCUGAUCUCACACCCUCUGUUCCAUUUGCUGAGUAAUAGCUGUCUAUUGUAGUUUCUUUCUUCUUUUUCUGUUGUUUCCUCCAAUUCACCCCUUCUUUACUCCCCGUAUUUGUCUGUGCUCUUGGUCCUCUCAUUUUUUUGCUUUUUGGGGAGUUCUAUCAGUCUCCCCUCUUGGAGCUUUAACAGAAGAUCUCUUGGUGUAGUCUCUGUGGGAGGGUUGUUUGGGGUUUGAGCUUCCCUGUCCUCUGGAGGCUUUUGAUUCGCUUAAAGUCCAGCGGUCAAUGGGGAUGGGUGGGGAGCUUGGGCUUCCCUGCUUUCUGGAGACUUUUGAUGGGAUUGAGUUCAGCUUAGUUGGGCUGGGUUUACUCUGAGUUUUAAACUUCCUGGAAGGCUGGGACAAAUAUGGAGGAUCUCCAAAGCUCUGGCCAGGCUGCCAGGUCUAUGCUCCUUCUAGGCUGCCAUCUUGACUUCACCUCUAGGUUUCUGUUUUUUCAGAAGACCCUGCUCUCUAAGGGGGGAGGGGUCGUGGCCUCCCUGGGCUCUGAGGGCUCCUGAUGGGAUUAGGUUCAGCUGGUUUGUACUGGAUGAGCCCUGAAGCAAAAAACCUCCUCCUCCUCAAUCUGUGUUGAAUGCCCAGGGACUGGCCAGGUUGCUUUCAAGUGGAUCAUGGCCAGGUAUGAAGAGGAAAUGGAUCUCAUUUUUGGAACUCAAGAAACUGAGUCUCCAAGCCAUAAAGAAAUAGGUUUAUUCAGAGAGUCUCACAAUAAAUUCAGACUUCUUGUCAAGACCAAAAGACCUAAAGAACUGUGAGAGACCUUCCUAUAUACCCUCAAAGAAUAUCAUAAUUUUUAUACCAAGUUAAAAAUAAUACAAGACCAUGUUAAAAUAGAGAGAUGUGGAUUGAUUGAAGUAAUAGGGAAACAUUUCUCUCAUUGGUAGAAGUCUCUUGAUAAACAAGAGGAGAGUAGGGGAGCCUGAACCCUGCUUUCUAAGCCUGAUGAUGUCAAGGUUGAUGUAUACUAAGAUGACUAGGAUAAGGAGGAGGUAUCAGGCCUUAAAAAAGGGUAAAAGCCUGAUGAUGUAUAAGGAAUGAAUACAAAGGUGAAAGGGUGUCACCAGGGUUCUAACUGAGGCAAAAGCCCAUAUGCUAAUGAAGGCCAAGUCACAAGUUCAAGACAAUCAUUGCUGAGGGUUUAUGAUAUAAUAGUUUUGAAGGGUAAGGCUAGAACUGAGGCCUAUGCUAACAAUGAUUAAUUAUAUUCAAGCGGUUAUCUUACUUUAAAACUUAAUCUAAAAUAAUCACAAAAGACCUACUAAGAUCAUCAACUGUGCUAAUAUUUAAUUAUCUUAGAAUUACAGUUAUCACUAACUCACAGCUGCUGCCAACAUUAAAAUCUAAUCCUCAUAUGAGGGGGUAGGGGAUUUUUCCCCUCACACUCUCCAAUAUAAUUAAGCUCCUUGAGAUGAUAUUUUUUUUUCUUUGUGCCAUGACUGGUACUUAAAAAUUGUAUACUGGUGGCUUAAUUGUUAAAUUUAAAAUUCAAUUGUUCCAAACCAAAAAAGCCUUCUCUGACGAAAGUGUUCUCUCCUUCCUCAAAUUUUCUGAGUUUUCUUCUCUUUUGCUAGAUUUAGAACCAGAGGAUUUUGGUAAUAUAUAUAGCUAUGUGACCUUUGUAACACUUGGUAUACUUUUUACCAUUACUAGGUUUGACAUAUAUCAGCUGUGAAAUGAGAAAGUUGGACUAGGUGACCUGAAAAGUCCCUUUAGCUCUAAAAUCUGAGUUGACUUUGUCCAAUACUUAUUAGUGUGUAGAUUGUAUAUAUCCCAUAUACCAAAGUCAACUGCCUUAAGAAAAGAUAUGUGUCAUUCAUCAUUUCAUAUCCCCAUUUCACUAUAAGUUUCCUCAUUCAAUAGUUCACAACUAUAGAAUUAAGUUUAAUGGAAUGCAUUUAGUAACAAUCAUUUUGCUCAUUAAUAAAUUUACAUGAGUUUAUAAAAACAAAGGGAAAAUUAUGACUUCUGAAGAGGUUGACACAUAUUAUAUCUCUUCCCUAAACAAAUCUCAACCCCUUUAAGUGAAAUAUAAAUAUAAUGAAGGCUAUUGAGUACACUUUUGACUGGUUUCACUAAAAAUGAGAUCAGUAUUAAAUAACAGUUCAUAGUUUUGUUUUGAAGUGCUCUUACAUCUAUUAUCUCUAUUUAUUCUCAGGGUUCUAUAAUUACAACCAAAUGUUAUAGUAAUAUACACAUUUACAAUCCUCCUAUCCCAUCACUCAAGAACCAAAAUGAUUUCCAUAAAUAUUGCAAGUCAAUUUUAGAAAAAAUCAAAACAUUUGAUAUUUUAUCAUUGUUCUCUCACUUCUAUUUCAUUAAAGAUGCCAGAAGAAAAUUUAGAAGGGGAUAUAUAACCAGGGUAGAUGACUAUUAAUAUUCUUUUAGAUGUCAUUGAAUUUAAA